GAUGAACGCUGGCGGUAUGCCUAACACAUGCAAGUCGUACGAGAGUUUUUAACUCUAGUGGCGGACGGGUGAGUAACACGUGAGAAUUUGCCUUUAGGAGGGGAUAACAAUUGGAAACGAAUGCUAAUACCCCAUAUGCUUUUGAGUGAAAUGGAUUUUAUCCGCCUAGAGAGAAGCUCGCGGCUGAUUAGCUUGUUGGUAAAGGUAAGAGCUUACCAAGGCUACGAUCAGUAGGGGGCGUGAGAGCGUGGCCCCCCACACGGGUACUGAGACACGGACCCGACUCCUACGGGAGGCAGCAGUAAGGAAUAUUGGGCAAUGGACGCAAGUCUGACCCAGCCAUCCCGCGUGCAGGACGAAUGCCCUAUGGGUUGUAAAACUGCUUUUGUUUGGGAAGAAAUGUAUCCUUUUAAGAGUAUUUGACGGUACCAGACGAAUAAGCACCGGCUAAACUCCGUGCCAGCAGCCG
rnacentral:rRNA from 1 species